ACAGAAGAUACUCCUCACUCCUUUAUUACUGUUGGGCUCUAGUGCCUUUCCUCUUUACAUGAAGUAAUGGACAACUAGAGGCAGCUGGUCCCAAGGGCUGGGUGCAGUAAUACAUGGGGAGCAGAAGGACUUGGUGCACAAGAUGCUGCAUUUCACCGCAGAAGCAAAGUGGAAUCAGGGUGAUACUGAGGGAGGCUGCUUUAGCAGAUUCUUAGCAGCUCAUAACACACACAAAAAUGAAGCUCAUUUGUGAAACAAUAAAGGAAGAGGGAGCAGAGCUGUGGGAGAGGAAGAAAAACCGUUCCUCCAGGAACUACAGUACUAUUAAGACCUGGUUCCCAGUGGAUGUCUGUGCCUUAUGGGGUCUAAUAGCCUCCUGAACUGAAAAGAGCCUGCUAAUUUUCACCACUAGAGCAUCUGAACAGAUCUUACCAGACACGGUCACCAACUUCCCUAUAACAAAAGCAGCUCUGUGAAAGUGCACAUUGCUGAGGGAAUUUGAAAGACUUGCUUCUGUGUAACUGAAUCUGCAAGUUAUACAAGAAAGCUGGAUGGGACUCUUUAAAAAGCACAUAGCUGAUGUGGAGAGCUACCUUGGAAGCUAUCAGAAAUGCCUAUGUAUAACGCCAAACUAAACAAGAUUCUCAGCACUCCCCACUGUACUUCCUGUAUACCUGUAGUAACUCUAGUCCUGUGUGAAUUGCUUGAUGACGUGUUCGUGAAU